AAAUUGAAGAGUUUGAUCAUGGCUCAGAUUGAACGCUGGCGGCAGGCCUAACACAUGCAAGUCGAGCGGUAGCACAGAGAGCUUGCUCUCGGGUGACGAGCGGCGGACGGGUGAGUAAUGUCUGGGAAACUGCCUGAUGGAGGGGGAUAACUACUGGAAACGGUAGCUAAUACCGCAUAAUGUCGCAAGACCAAAGUGGGGGACCUUCGGGCCUCAUGCCAUCAGAUGUGCCCAGAUGGGAUUAGCUAGUAGGUGGGGUAACGGCUCACCUAGGCGACGAUCCCUAGCUGGUCUGAGAGGAUGACCAGCCACACUGGAACUGAGACACGGUCCAGACUCCUACGGGAGGCAGCAGUGGGGAAUAUUGCACAAUGGGCGCAAGCCUGAUGCAGCCAUGCCGCGUGUGUGAAGAAGGCCUUCGGGUUGUAAAGCACUUUCAGCGGGGAGGAAGGCGGUGAGGUUAAUAACCUCAUCGAUUGACGUUACCCGCAGAAGAAGCACCGGCUAACUCCGUGCCAGCAGCCGCGGUAAUACGGAGGGUGCAAGCGUUAAUCGGAAUUACUGGGCGUAAAGCGCACGCAGGCGGUCUGUCAAGUCGGAUGUGAAAUCCCCGGGCUUAACCUGGGAACUGCAUUCGAAACUGGCAGGCUAGAGUCUUGUAGAGGGGGUAGAAUUCCAGGUGUAGCGGUGAAAUGCGUAGAGAUCUGGAGGAAUACCGGUGGCGAAGGCGGCCCCCUGGACAAAGACUGACGCUCAGGUGCGAAAGCGUGGGGAGCAAACAGGAUUAGAUACCCUGGUAGUCCACGCCGUAAACGAUGUCGAUUUGGAGGUUGUGCCCUUGAGGCGUGGCUUCCGGAGCUAACGCGUUAAAUCGACCGCCUGGGGAGUACGGCCGCAAGGUUAAAACUCAAAUGAAUUGACGGGGGCCCGCACAAGCGGUGGAGCAUGUGGUUUAAUUCGAUGCAACGCGAAGAACCUUACCUGGUCUUGACAUCCACAGAACUUUCCAGAGAUGGAUUGGUGCCUUCGGGAACUGUGAGACAGGUGCUGCAUGGCUGUCGUCAGCUCGUGUUGUGAAAUGUUGGGUUAAGUCCCGCAACGAGCGCAACCCUUAUCCUUUGUUGCCAGCGGUUAGGCCGGGAACUCAAAGGAGACUGCCAGUGAUAAACUGGAGGAAGGUGGGGAUGACGUCAAGUCAUCAUGGCCCUUACGACCAGGGCUACACACGUGCUACAAUGGCAUAUACAAAGAGAAGCGACCUCGCGAGAGCAAGCGGACCUCAUAAAGUAUGUCGUAGUCCGGAUUGGAGUCUGCAACUCGACUCCAUGAAGUCGGAAUCGCUAGUAAUCGUAGAUCAGAAUGCUACGGUGAAUACGUUCCCGGGCCUUGUACACACCGCCCGUCACACCAUGGGAGUGGGUUGCAAAAGAAGUAGGUAGCUUAACCUUCGGGAGGGCGCUUACCACUUUGUGAUUCAUGACUGGGGUGAAGUCGUAACAAGGUAACCGUAGGGGAACCUGCGGUUGGAUCACCUCCUUA
rnacentral:rRNA from 1 species